rnacentral:ncRNA from 24 species
UAAUCAUUGAUGAAAUUCUGUUGAGUAUCCCAAGCUUUUGGAUAUGGAUUCAUAAGCAUGGCCAACUGAGAUCAUUUUACUGUUUUGUCUCGCUAUAUUUUUUUUUCAAAUUGUCAUUCUUUUUUUCUUUUUUUUCUUUUUACUCUAACUCUUCUACUUGUGGAAAUUGAUUCUAUUGUAUAUCCAGAUGUAUGAUGCACCUUUUCAUUUUAACUUUGGGUAAUGUUUGUCUCACUAUUAACAUGUUCAUCUUUGCAAUGAUGGAAUAGAAAAAUUCAGGUGGCAUGAUCUGAAGGUACGAGUGAGCUCCGAUGGGGGGACGUGCUUAGAAGGGGCAAGGACGAGGGAAGAGAAAUGAAGGUUUCAAGGAGAUAUAAUAGAUAAAAUGGGAGCGGAUGGUUUCCGCUUGGCUGUAUAGCAUAAUUGAGUUUUUCAAUCAUGUCUAUGUUCAGGUUUAUGAUAUGCUGUGGCUGAUUCUGUUGAUUUCACACGUUUCACUUCCAUAUAAUGUGUUGAUGGAAACUCCACGUUAAGGCUUAUCAUAGGAAAUUAAUUGAACUCGUUCCCUUUUUUAUUUUUUAUUGUCUUUUCCUGAUACUUUCAUUUUUUCGACUUUUUAUGCUUAUCUUUCCUAAGCACAUCUUCACAUGAGCGCUCAUCCGUAUUUUCUAUUCACGUUAACAGAGUUUUUUUACGUUGUUGCAUGAUUGGGCAUGGGCGAGGCUUCAUUAUUCCAAACUUGGUGAAUUGUGGUGCAAUUCAUUGCUGGUCACAAUGCAUGACGUUUGUUUGGUUAGAAAAGCGAAGGAGAAAGGAAGAUACUGGGGGAAAGAAAGAUGAGAAAUCAAAAUGGAACAAUAUUUUAAUAGGUCUGGCAAUGUUUUGUGUAUAAUUCUAUUCCUAGAAGUUUAGGAGAUCCGAUGGUUUACAGAAGUCAUAAAUUCAAAUAUCCCGUUUAAUCGCUCAUCUAUUAAAAUUAAUAGUAGAAUGUAGUUUCAUACCCGGGAGAAAUUU